GACGAACGCUGGCGGCGUGCUUAACACAUGCAAGUCGAACGGAAAGGCCCUGCUUUUGUGGGGUGCUCGAGUGGCGAACGGGUGAGUAACACGUGAGUAACCUGCCCUUGACUUUGGGAUAACUUCAGGAAACUGGGGCUAAUACCGGAUAGGAGCUCCUGCUGCAUGGUGGGGGUUGGAAAGUUUCGGCGGUUGGGGAUGGACUCGCGGCUUAUCAACUUGUUGGUGGGGUAGUGGCUUACCAAGGCUUUGACGGGUAGCCGGCCUGAGAGGGUGACCGGCCACAUUGGGACUGAGAUACGGCCCAGACUCCUACGGGAGGCAGCAGUGGGGAAUAUUGUACAAUGGGCGGAAGCCUGAUGCAGCAACGCCGCGUGCGGGAUGACGGCCUUCGGGUUGUAAACCGCUUUCGCCUGUGACGAAGCGUGAGUGACGGUAAUGGGUAAAGAAGCACCGGCUAACUACGUG
rnacentral:rRNA from 1 species